rnacentral:lncRNA from 1 species
GGGAUCCUAGCCUCUAAUAGUGUGUUCUAGUAGGCUUCUGGGUAUACUAGCACUCUCAAUUGCUGGGUAUGUCCACAACUCGCCUAUUCUUUUCAAUUUCCUAUUCCCUUAAACCCCUAUGUGCACCUACUUGUAACCGUUUCCCUUCCCAUUUCCCUUCUCAGAGUUAUGAUCUUGCACUCUCUCUUAGUUUUAAAUUCUUCCCCCCGUUGUGAGCCUUGCCUUGGGACCUUGAGUUCCCUCUGUACUUGGACACUUGAGGGCUAGACUUUCCACUGUACUAUGUCUUAAUUUGGUGAUACAUUUGGGUGUGAGCAUUGCCUGAAGUCCCCUUUGAGGCUCUUAGGGAACUUUGACACAUCCAAAUGGGAUAAAGGC